UACGUAGGGUGCAAGCGUUGUCCGGAAUUAUUGGGCGUAAAGAGCUCGUAGGCGGUCUGUUGCGUCGGCUGUGAAAACCCGGGGCUCAACCCCGGGCCUGCAGCCGAUACGGGCAGACUAGAGUUCGGCAGGGGAGACUGGAAUUCCUGGUGUAGCGGUGAAAUGCGCAGAUAUCAGGAGGAACACCGGUGGCGAAGGCGGUUCUCUGGGCAGUAACUGACGCUGAGGAGCGAAAGCGUGGGGAGCGAACAGG
rnacentral:rRNA from 1 species